CACGUAGGGUGCAAGCGUUGUCCGGAUUCAUUGGGCGUAAAGGGCUAGUAGGCGGCUUAGCAAGUCGGGUGUGAAAACUUCAGGCUCAACCUGGAGACGCCACCCGAUACUGCUGUGACUAGAGUCCGGUAGGGGAGCGUGGAAUUCCUGGUGUAGCGGUGAAAUGCGCAGAUAUCAGGAGGAACACCGGUGGCGAAGGCGGGUCUCUGGGCCGAUACUGACGCUGAGGAGCGAAAGCGUGGGGAGCGAACAGG
rnacentral:rRNA from 1 species